rnacentral:rRNA from 1 species
UACGGAGGGAGCUAGCGUUGUCCGGAUUUAUUGGGCGUAAAGAGCUCGUAGGUGGUUCGGUAAGUCGGAUGUGAAAUCUCCAGGCUCAACCUGGAGGGGUCAUUCGAUACUGCCGUGACUAGAGGUCGGUAGGGGAGUGUGGAAUUCCUGGUGGAGCGGUGAAAUGCGUAGAUAUCGUAAGGAAGACCAGUGGCGAAGGCGGGUCUCUGGACAGUUCCUGACACUGAGACACGAAGGCCAGGGGAGCAAACGGG